CACAAAUACAAUAUACCCUAUUUACUCUUCGAGUACCGGGUAUAAAAAGAUCUAUUUUUGUCGAGCUGCUAGCAACAUACAAACGAAUACCACAAAAUAUCGGCUGACUUCUAGAUUUAAUCUAGAUCUUUUCGAUCUAAGUACUGCCACUGACCAUAUAGUAUAGUGAUAUGGUGACAUGAUAGUUAUAUGGCUAGUGGUACUGCCCGGCGUUCAGCCGUUAGAAAAUAGUUUGUGCGCGCAAAAUUUUUGAUCAGUUCCAUACGAAUAUCACACUGAUUUUUCUAGAGGCCCCUUAUUUUCGAUCUGAGGCUUUUAGUCCGUCCCCUGGAUAUCGAGUCGAAAACACGCCUGACUUCCCCGAGAGUUAUCCGGGAACGAUACACCAGGGAGGCAAAAAGGCGAAUCAUAACCAAUUAAACCAAAGACCAGUGUAAAUAUUUUUAAAACCUUCAUAAGAAGUAAACAGGAAUAUGUAGUCACCAGCUUCUCGGACAUUCCAGAGGGGUCCAACAAAGACGUGGAAAUUGCACACGCCGGAGUGCUAAUAAGAUGUGUAAAUGUACCUCACGACACAAGCAAGCAUGAAGUCUUCAUAUUGGCGGGAAAUUCAUGGCAAAAGUGAGAGUUUCGAACGGUUUUGCCACUUUUGGAUUUUAAGAAAAAAUGAAUUUAAUGUGAAUAUAAAAUAAUUUUUUGCGAAUAAAAAAAAACCGUCACUGAAUCC
rnacentral:lncRNA from 1 species